rnacentral:rRNA from 1 species
GAUGAACGCUAGCUACAGGCUUAACACAUGCAAGUCGAGGGGCAGCAUGGUCUUAGCUUGCUAAGGCCGAUGGCGACCGGCGCACGGGUGAGUAACACGUAUCCAACCUGCCGUCUACUCUUGGACAGCCUUCUGAAAGGAAGAUUAAUACAAGAUGGCAUCAUGAGUCCGCAUGUUCACAUGAUUAAAGGUAUUCCGGUAGACGAUGGGGAUGCGUUCCAUUAGAUAGUAGGCGGGGUAACGGCCCACCUAGUCUUCGAUGGAUAGGGGUUCUGAGAGGAAGGUCCCCCACAUUGGAACUGAGACACGGUCCAAACUCCUACGGGGCAGUAGUGAGGAAUAUUGGUCAAUGGGCGAGAGCCUGAACCAGCCAAGUAGCGUGAAGGACGACUGCCCUAUGGGUUGUAAACUUCUUUUAUAAAGGAAUAAAGUCGGGUAUGGAUACCCGUUUGCAUGUACUUUAUGAAUAAGGAUCGGCUAACUCCGUG